UACGUAGGGUGCAAGCGUUAAUCGGAAUUACUGGGCGUAAAGCGUGCGCAGGCGGUUGUGCAAGACAGAUGUGAAAUCCCCGGGCUUAACCUGGGAACUGCAUUUGUGACUGCACAGCUAGAGUGUGUCAGAGGGGGGUAGAAUUCCACGUGUAGCAGUGAAAUGCGUAGAUAUGUGGAGGAAUACCGAUGGCGAAGGCAGCCCCCUGGGAUAACACUGACGCUCAUGCACGAAAGCGUGGGGAGCGAACGGG
rnacentral:rRNA from 1 species